UACGUAGGGCGCAAGCGUUAUCCGGAAUUAUUGGGCGUAAAGAGCUCGUAGGCGGUUUGUCGCGUCUGCUGUGAAAGACCGGGCUCAACUCCGGUUCUGCAGUGGGUACGGGCAGACUAGAGUGCAGUAGGGGAGACUGGAAUUCCUGGUGUAGCGGUGAAAUGACGCAGAUAUCAGGAGGAACACCGAUGGCGAAGGCAGGUCUCUGGGCUGUAACUGACGCUGAGGAGCGAAAGCCAUGGGAGCGAACAGG
rnacentral:rRNA from 1 species